rnacentral:misc_RNA from 1 species
UAUAUAUUUAUAUAUAAAGGAAAGUCUAUUAUUAAUAAUAAUAUAUUAUAUAUAUAAUAAUAAAAUUAUACCCAGCUCAACCCAUACGGUCGAGUCGGGUUGAAAUGAAAUUAAAGGAUAUAUAAUAUAUAUAUAAUUAUUAAUAUAAUUAGGUAAAUAUAUACUAAAAAUAGCUUAUAUAUAUAAAUAU